GAUGAACGCUAGCUACAGGCUUAACACAUGCAAGUCGAGGGGUAACGAGAGGAAAGCUUGCUUUCCUUGUCGACGACCGGCGCACGGGUGAGUAACGCGUAUCCAACCUGCCCCCAACUAGGGAAUAACCUUGCGAAAGUAAGACUAAUACCCUAUAAUUUCCUCAGAUGUCAUCUGACGAGGAAUAAAGAUUUAUCGGUUGUGGAUGGGGAUGCGUCUGAUUAGCUUGUUGGCGGGGUGACGGCCCACCAAGGCAACGAGCAGUAGGGGUUCUGAGAGGAAGGUCCCCCUCAUUGGAACUGAGACACGGUCCAAACUCCUACGGGAGGCAGCAGUGAGGAAUAUUGGUCAAUGGGCGGAAGCCUGAACCAGCCAAGUAUCGUGCAGGAUGACGGCCCUAUGGGUCGUAAACUGCUUUUAUACAGGAAUAAAGUUAGCCACGUGUGGUUAUUUGUAGGUACUGUAUGAAUAAGGACCGGCUAAUUCCGUGCCAGCCGCCGCCGUAA
rnacentral:rRNA from 1 species